CUUUUAUAAGACUCGAUGCAACUCCAGUCCUUUGCCACCCUGCUCCUGCUCCGCCACAACCUCCCAAAUCGGUCGCCACAAGAAAUGGGAAGGCGCCGCCGGUUCGCUCUGCAGUACACCAGCGACGACGACGACGACAAUGCUGCACCCGAGGCGCCCAAAACCACAGUCCCCGACUCCUCGCGCCACAAGAAGCAGCAGCGCCGCUACCGCGACGACGAUGACGACGAGGCGGACCUGGAGCUCGCGGAGGAGGAAGAGCAAGAGAUGAGGAGAAACGAGGAGGAGGAGACGCAGGCCCGCAAGCCCGCGCGCCCUGCUGAGAACAGCGACGGGGAGCUGGGCCACAAGGCGGAAGCGGAUGAGGAGGGGGACGACGGAAAUGGUUCGGAUGCGGUGCCCUUGGGCAACCCCGUGGAGGUUCCUGGCGAGGGGAAGCACUACUCCUCCUUCGAAUACGAGGGCAACAUCUACAAGCUCGAGGAUUCGGCGAUGUUCUCGCCUGAUCUGGAGAACGACAAGCCCUAUGUCGGCAUCAUCAAGGGUAUAAUUGAAAUUGAUGGGAGCUUAUCCGUAAGUGCUCAGUGGUUUUAUAGACCAGAAGAAGCCGAGAAAGAGGGUGGUGACCCAAGGGAGUUAUUUUAUAGUUUUCAUAUUGAUGAAGUGCCAGCAGAGUCAGUUAUGCACAUGUGUGUGGUCCAUUUCAUUCCUGAGCACAAGCAGGUGCCAAGUAAAAAGGAACACCCUGGAUUCAUUGUCCAACAGGUGUAUGACCACAGAGAGGAGAAGAUGUAUAAAAUAACGGAUAAGGACUAUGAGGAUGACAAGCAGCAUCAGAUUGAUCUCCUUAUUAUGAAAACAAUAGACCGUAUUGGGAGGCUUCCAGAUCGUGAUCCUGAAGAUAUACCUGGUGACAACACUGAUAAAUUAUCAAGACGAGGCUUGCGGAAGAGACCUCUGAAGCCUAAAGAUGUUCCAAGAGAUGCUUCUACAGGCAUAUCUGAGCAAUUCAGAAAAGAAGAUACACCCGUGAAUGAUAAUCUGAAGUAUUUUGCCAUCCUUGUCAGACAUGAAGUGAUUACUGGUAACCAGUAUCGUGAUUGGUGGCUUGAUAAAUUUGUAGACACUAUUCUGGCACUCCCUCAUUCAAGAAAUGAUAAUGAAAAUUCUUAUGCACCUAAUGAGGUUGUUCCAAUAGUAGCCUCCUUAGAAAGAUCAACUUUUGAAGCUCUUCAUGCAGACUACCAUAAAUAUAACCAGAAAAUGAGAACAUUAUUGUUCAAUAUCAAGAAAAGUUCUGUACUGUGCAAGCGACUAAUGGACAAGGCACUUGAUCCUCCCGUUCUGUUAACGAUGACCCCUGACGAACUAAAGGCUGGGUUGACACCAGCAGAGAUAGCGUCUGAAUCAGAAGAAUCAAGGCAGCUGCAGAUGACUGAGGCCCGGUGUAGAAGAUGCACGGAAAAGAAAGUAGGCAUACUUGAUAUCAUUCAUGCCAGCCGUGGAGAUCGCUAUCAGGUAAGGUUUGGUUCGGCGUCACCACCGAACUUGGCAUACUCAUGAUAGGAUUAAUGGGUGCAGCAACAAUUUGAUUUGUGGGGCUAGGAUAAAAAUUCAUCAGCACGGGAGGCGCCGAUGAAAUAGGUCGAAUGUAUUUCCUGCGGAUACACAUCAUUUGCGUCCAGAGAUGACAUCUUAAGAAAUGGCUAGCGAGAUCAGGCGAUCAGCCAGACAAGAAGCCUGCUACUGAUGAGAGCACGGAGACUUACAUGGAGAGGCAGACCAUAGUCUAACAUGCGAAGCGGGAUGAACCCUCCCUGCGCCUGCAACUAAUCAUGGGUCGUGAUAUGUAGAAUGACCAUUCACAAAAAAAAAAGGAUAUGUAGGAUGACAUCAGUGUUAGGCGCCUAGGAUGUUCUGGAAAAUCUAGUGCGCAUCUUUCGACGUGUCAAACUCUUCCAACUGCAUAUUCAUGAUGAAAAACGUUUUCCACCGCUUUA